ACUACGAUAGCUCAGUGGCAGAGCGGUGGGGCGUUUACCCAUGCGGCCCGGGUUCGAUCCCCGGUCGAUGCA